UACAAAAUGAUCAUGGAGUCUUGACUAGAGCAACAGUGACAAUUGACUCAAUUUUUGUAUCCAAUUUCUAACCCUCCCGCUAUCACAUUGCCAGCCCUAAACAGGAUACAUGGUUUUAUUCAAAUAUGUCACAAAACAAAGUAAACGAAUUUGUGUUCUAAAGCCACAAGGCGGCAGUGGAGAGAUCAGAAAACGUCUUGCAGUAAAUUUGAAAGUGACUAUAACUUGACAGAAAAAUGUUCAGGGGUGCAUAAAAAAUGGAAGUUUAAGGGAGAGAAAAGUAGUUUGGGGGUAGGAGAGGAGUUUGGACCAAGUUAUUAUGUAUUUAAAGAAUAAGCAGGGUUAUGUGGAAUUCUUGUGAACAAUUCUUAUAAAAUCUUUAAUAAGUGGAUUCCAGUCCACUUUCCAAAAUGCCCAUAGCUUAAUUGCACUUGGUAUUUUACUCUUCAGAUCAGAUGAUACUCCAGACCGAAAUUCAUCAUCAUCUAACCCAGCUUUUUAUCCCCUGACUUUCAGGAGCCUGUGAAUGAGCUGCCUUCCCUGAUGUCAGCACUGAAACUCGAGAAACAAGUUUCUCUGAAAUCUCUGGAUCAUCUUACAUUCUGGCAAUUUCUACCUUCUGUUAGUGAAGGUAGUCAUCUCUUUCCAACUAGAUGGGAACACAGACUUCUGAGAAGCCACACCUUAAAACUGAGGACAGAAGUAUGUGAGACCAGAUUUGCUUUAGCCCCAACAUGCAAAGGGAGAAUUUGA
rnacentral:lncRNA from 1 species